CAGCGCGGCGGUACCGCAGAAUCGUCGAAGCUACCCGCCAGUACUGACGUAACUCAAAGGAGGAAAACGUAUUUUUGUGAAAAUGGAAGACAUAUGACAUUGGCUUUAGUCCUCUUCGGUUCCCCACUGCUAUCUGAAAGCAGUGGGGAACCUUCACAAAUCGUCGCAGUAUUAAAGGAGGAACCACCAGAUGGAAAGGCGACGAAGGGGGCUUUACUAGUGUAAAUGCAAGCACCCCUUCAUGAUCUAUGUAGAGACCCUCGAAUCAAACUGCCGGGAUACCCACACUGACACCAGCUGGGAUAUAUGGAUCUAAAACUACAACCAUAAUUUUCAAUCAAGCUGGAAUCACAGCAUUUUCUGUAGUUUGCGAAGU